GACGAACGCUGGCGGCGUGCUUAACACAUGCAAGUCGAACGCUGAAGCACCAGCUUGCUGGUGUGGAUGAGUGGCGAACGGGUGAGUAAUACGUGAGUAACCUGCCCUUGACUCUGGGAUAAGCCCGGGAAACUGGGUCUAAUACUGGAUGCUACAUGUCACCGCAUGGUGGUGUGUGGAAAGGGUUUACUGGUCUUGGAUGGGCUCACGGCCUAUCAGCUUGUUGGCGAGGUAAUGGCUCACCAAGGCGACGACGGGUAGCCGGCCUGAGAGGGUGACCGGCCACACUGGGACUGAGACACGGCCCAGACGCCUACGGGAGGAAGCAGUGGGGAAUAUUGCACAAUGGGCGAAAGCCUGAUGCAGCGACGCCGCGUGAGGGAUGACGGCCUUCGGGUUGAAAACCUCUUUCAGCAGGGAAGAAGCCACAAGUGACGGUACCUGCAGAAGAAGCGCCGGCUAACUACGUG
rnacentral:rRNA from 1 species